rnacentral:rRNA from 1 species
CCUACGGGAGACAGCAGUGGGGAAUAUUGCACAAUGGGGGAAACCCUGAUGCAGCGACGCCGCGUGAGUGAAGAAGUAUUUCGGUAUGUAAAGCUCUAUCAGCAGGGAAGCAGAAAGACGGUACCUGACUAAGAAGCCCCGGCUAACUACGUGCCAGCAGCCGAGGUAAUACGUAGGGGGCAAGCGUUAUCCGGAAUUACUGGGUGUAAAGGGUGCGUAGGUGGCAUGGUAAGUCAGAAGUGAAAGCCCGGGGCUUAACCCCGGGUCUGCUUUUGAAACUGUCAUGCUAGAGUGCAGGAGAGGUAAGCGGAAUUCCUAGUGAAGCGGUGAAAUGCGUAGAUAUUAGGAGGAACCCCAGUGGCGAAGGCGGCUUACUGGACUGUCACUGACACUGAUGCACGAAAGCGUGGGGAGCAAACAGGAUUAGAUACCCUUGUAGUC